rnacentral:rRNA from 1 species
CGCCUACGGGGGGCAGCAGUGAGGAAUAUUGGUCAAUGGGCGGAAGCCUGAACCAGCCAAGUCGCGUGAGGGAAGAAGGCCCUGCGGGUCGCAGACCUCUUUGGACGGGGAGCAAGGCCGCCGACGUGUCGGCGGAAGGAGAGUACCCGUAGAACAAGCAUCGGCUAACUCCGUGCCAGCAGCCGCGGUAAUACGGAGGAUGCGAGCGUUAUCCGGAUUUAUUGGGUUUAAAGGGUGCGCAGGCGGUCUGUUAAGUCAGCGGUCAAAGCCCGGGGCUCAACCCCGGCCCGCCGUUGAAACUGGCG